rnacentral:misc_RNA from 1 species
GAUGAAGAACGUAGCGAAAUGCGAUACGUAAUGUGAAUUGCAGAAUUCAGUGAAUCAUCGAGUCUUUGAACGCACAUUGCGCCCCCUGGUAUUGCGGGGGGCAUGCCUGUCCGAGCGUCAUUGCUGCCCUCAAGCACGGCUUGUGUGUUGGGCCUCCGUCCUCCUCCCGGGGGACGGGCCCGAAAGGCAGCGGCGGCACCGCGUCCGGUCCUCGAGCGUAUGGGGCUUCGUCACCCGCUCUUGUAGGCCCGGCCGGCGCUUGCCGACACAUCAAUCUUUUUUCCAGGUUGACCUCGGAUCAGGUAGGGAUACCCGCUGAACUUAAGCAUAUCAAUAAGCGGAGGA